CAGAACAGUGAAGAGAUCUGUCUCUUUUGCCCCCUUGUGUGUUGUGGCACAGUACUAUUUUAUGGUGUUGUGCAAGCUGGUGACAUGGGUAGAGAGAUAAGACCUCACCUUUGGAUGCUGCUGCAGUUCCUGGUUGCUGGCACAGUAACGCAGCAAUGCAGAAGAAUUUCCUGCACUUGCCUGAACUAGGUGCAGUAUAAAGCAGCUUAAAGGAAGAUUUGUUCAAUUCCAACUUCAAAGCAGACCUGAGGAUAUUUUCGUUGGAAGAGGAACACCAGCAUGGUCUCCUGUAAAGCUGCAGCUCCUGCUCUGAGACAUGAGCUUGGAUCAUUAAAGAAACCAGCACGUGGCAGCGAAGAAGGGCUGCUGACCGCUGAGGCAGCCUUGCCAGGGAGGAAAGUGGAAUAAAGGGAACGCUGGACCAGUUUGGUACUCCCGCGAGGUGUUGCCUGCAGCACAUGCUACUCACAAUGCAGUGAGUAAGAGCCCGGUGAGUGCCUGGGAGGAACUGCCGGCUGCAGCCUCACUCCGUUAGCAUGAGACGUGCCAAGAGGCUCGGAGCUGAUCAGCCCCAGAAGGCAACUUCCUGAUGCAAUUAAGAUAGAGCUGACAAGCAUUUCUGCAGGAAGUUUUGUGACCCCAGCAAGUAAAUAGGGUUUAUGUCCUGACAGUAAUUAAAUGACAGAUUCACUUUUGGGUUGAGGAGAGAACAUGUGCUCUAGGGUGGUCUAUCAAAUCCAGAAACAGCACCACGCAACUGAAAAGACAGCUCGAACAAAGGAUUUCACAAUGAAACUUCUACAGCUAAAGCAUUUGGGAUCAUUGGGUCUGGAUCCAGUUCCCAGCUACAGCUUUUCAGCAUGAGCUGAGGCUCUCAGGUUCCUCAUCUGUAUAAGGGCAACAAUACUCCAUCCCCUCUUUACAGGAAGAUUGCAAACAAAUGCGAAGCUAUCUAACAGCCUGGUGGAGCCUCCAGCGGAAGAAGCCACAAGCACAUGGUGAGACCACAUGCCUGACUGUCUUGAUAGUUGCCUGUGUGAUCUCAAGAGACUAAAAUCCCUUCUCCAAAUCAUGCAAAAUCACAAACUGUAGAAAGCAGAAAACCCAAAGGCAAAUAAUCUGUUUGAAAACAGGACAUGAGUUAAUGGAGAGUUUUUAUUGUGUAGAGUGAAUAUUUGGUGUGUAUUUAUUUAUAUUUCCCUCUCCUACCUUCCCCUUUUAUACUUUAAAGCAAUUCAGAAACAAGAUAAAGAUAUGUUUCACACCAUCACACCAGCUUCUUCAGGUUUGUGAUCAAGUAACUUUUUUUCCUUCUUCAGCUGUUGAAGGAAGCUGAUUGCUGGGAAUUGCCAAAAGGAGCGGAUUAGCGUCUGCUGAACGUUGCCAAUUCCUAGGACUGAUUGAAAGCCAGGCAGUGCCCUUGACAGCUCCCUCCCAGCCAUCUCUGAUGGCCACCCAGCUGUUCUCCCACUCCAGCCCUCAG